rnacentral:misc_RNA from 1 species
AGCUUUAAGCUGAAAAUGGCGCUGUAAAAGGCGCCAUUUUUUUAUUGUAGACAACGUGCACUUUGUUCAUGCCGGAUGCGGCGUGAACGCCUUAUCCGGCCUACAAACCGUUCAAAUCCAGGAGCAGUGAACGUGUAGGCCUGAUAGGCGUAGCGCAUCGGGCAAUGUUGCGUUUGUCAUCAGUUUCAAAUGGCGCUUUAUAAGGUGCCAUUUUUUUAUUG